rnacentral:lncRNA from 1 species
AAAAGCAUAAUUCUUCAUUGUUAGGCUCUAUACGUGCUUGCUUUCUGGAGUUUCUUGCUUUGGGGUGGGGUUUGGGGCAGUGAAGAUUAAAUAGGAAUCAAACUUCACUGAAUUUGAAUGUGAAUCCCAGAGACCGGUAUAAUUUUCCUUACUGAAAAUCGAUAAAUCGAAUCGAUAAGCCCCCAAAAUCGAUAAAUCGAAAUCGAAAAAAUCGAAACCUUAUUGAAACGAUAACGAUAAGCAUAUGUACAAAUCGAUAAUCGAUAAGUAAUUAUCGAUAAGGGUCAAAAUCGAAUCGAUAAUUCGAUUGCAC